rnacentral:rRNA from 1 species
GACGUAGGGCGCGAGCGUUGUCCGGAUUUAUUGGGCGUAAAGAGCUCGUAGGCGGCUUGUCGCGUCGACCGUGAAAACUUGGGGCUCAACCCCAAGCCUGCGGUCGAUACGGGCAGGCUAGAGUUCGGUAGGGGAGACUGGAAUUCCUGGUGUAGCGGUGAAAUGCGUAGAUAUCUGGAGGAAUACCGGUGGCGAAGGCGGCAUUCUGGACCAUAACUGACACUGAGAGACGAAAGCCAGGGGAGCAAACGGG